UACGUAGGGGGCAAGCGUUGUCCGGAUUUAUUGGGCGUAAAGAGCGUGUAGGCGGCCAGAUAGGUCAGCUGUGAAAACUCGAGGCUCAACCUCGAGAUGUCGGCUGAAACCAUCUGGCUAGAGUCCGGAAGAGGAGAAUGGAAUUCCCGGUGUAGCGGUGAAAUGCGCAGAUAUCGGGAAGAACACCCGUGGCGAAGGCGGCCACCUGGACCAACAUUGACGCUGAGGCACGAAAGCGUGGGGAGCAAACAGG
rnacentral:rRNA from 1 species